CCUACGGGGGGCUGCAGUGAGGAAUAUUGGUCAAUGGACGAGAGUCUGAACCAGCCAAGUAGCGUGAAGGAUGACUGCCCUAUGGGUUGUAAACUUCUUUUAUAUGGGAAUAAAAUGUUCCACGUGUGGGUUUUUGUAUGUACUAUAUGAAUAAGGAUCGGCUAACUCCGUGCCAGCAGCCGCGGUAAUACGGAGGAUCCGAGCGUUAUCCGGAUUUAUUGGGUUUAAAGGGAGCGUAGGUGGAUUGUUAAGUCAGUUGUGAAAGUUUGCGGCUCAACCGUAAAAUUGCAGUUGAAACUGGCAGUCUUGAGUACAGUAGAGGUGGGCGGAAUUCGUGGUGUAGCGGUGAAAUGCUUAGAUAUCACGAAGAACUCCGAUUGCGAAGGCAGUUGACUGGACUGCAACUGACACUGAGGCUCGAAAGUGUGGGUAUCAAACAGGAUUAGAUACCCGGGUAGUC
rnacentral:rRNA from 1 species